CCCUACGGGGUGCACCGGCACAAUGCGUGGGACACGCAGUAAACCAUCCGAUUAUGGAGCGACUAUCUACGGUGAAGGCAAAUUCUACCAGACAACGUACAAUAAAGAUGUACCGUUGUAUUACCCACUGAUGCAGCAGAUCAUGGCUUUCUUCCAGGGUGCGCCUGCACCAGUUUCCUGCGCGGAAACACUGGAACUGAUGCGCUUUAUCCAGGCAGCUUUGAUCAGCGAGCAGGAAAACGGCAGGAUUGUCAGGCUGGACGAAGUGAAAUAGACGUGGGGCUGACCAGGGUCGGCUUCAGAAUGAAAGUGAAAAUAAACUAUGGAAGAUGAAAUCGGAGAAGCCCUCCGGCAUAUUGAGGCACUUUCAAAAGGAAUUGGCGGGGGAGC
rnacentral:rRNA from 1 species